AUUGAACGCUGGCGGCAGGCCUAACACAUGCCAGUCGAACGGUAACAGGAAACAGCUUGCUGUUUCGCUGACGAGUGGCGGACGGGUGAGUAAUGUCUGGGAAACUGCCUGAUGGAGGGUGAUAACUACUGGAAACGGUAGCUAAUACCGCAUAACGUCGCAAGACCAAAGAGGGGGACCUUCGGGCCUCUUGCCAUCGGAUGUGCCCAGAUGGGAUUAGCUAGUAGGUGGGGUAACGGCUCACCUAGGCGACGAUCCCUAGCUGGUCUGAGAGGAUGACCAGCCACACUGGAACUGAGACACGGUCCAGACUCCUACGGGAGGCAGCAGUGGGGAAUAUUGCACAAUGGGCGCAAGCCUGAUGCAGCCAUGCCGCGUGUAUGAAGAAGGCCUUCGGGUUGUAAAGUACUUUCAGCGGGGAGGAAGGGAGUAAAGUUAAUACCUUUACUCAUUGACGUUACCCGCAGAAGAAGCACCGGCUAACUCCGUG
rnacentral:rRNA from 1 species